UACGUAGGGCGCAAGCGUUGUCCGGAAUUAUUGGGCGUAAAGAGCUCGUAGGCGGCUUGUCACGUCGGAUGUGAAAGCCCGAGGCUUAACCUCGGGUCUGCAUUCGAUACGGGCUAGCUAGAGUGUGGUAGGGGAGAUCGGAAUUCCUGGUGUAGCGGUGAAAUGCGCAGAUAUCAGGAGGAACACCGGUGGCGAAGGCGGAUCUCUGGGCCAUUACUGACGCUGAGGAGCGAAAGCAUGGGGAGCGAACAGG
rnacentral:rRNA from 1 species